AAGACUCCACACGCCAAGGAAAAUCUUCAAGGAUUAUGCACGUGCAAAGACGUCAUCUGAUUUUCUUCCUUCACGCUUGACUUCUUCAUGCGUUGAGGGUUAUUUCUCCCCUUCACGUGAUGAGAGUCUUUCUCCAAGUAAAACUCCUCAAGGGGUGCCAAAUCAUGGAGAUAAGAUUUCCUAAAAAUCAGCAAGGAUAGAUCAUCAUACGUGAAGAUUUUCUAGUGAAAGGAGGACUCUUUCUUGCGGCAUGAAUCUCUCCUCCAUGCCUCCUAAUAUUCAGCCAACUGAUUGCCACAUGGCACUCAAUGACAAGGACUCAAUGCCAACUAAUAUAAUUGAGCAAUUAAAAACCAAUUUAAGGAUCCAAUGUAAACAAGCUAGCCAACAAAAUAUAAAUGAAUCCAAACUACAUGCGCACACCAAACUAGAAUGGACUCAAUCAUCAAACACAAAU
rnacentral:lncRNA from 1 species